UGGGGAAUAUUGGACAAUGGGGGAAACCCUGAUCCAGCAAUGCCGCGUGAGUGAUGAAGGCCUUAGGGUUGUAAAGCUCUUUCGGCGGGGACGAUGAUGACGGUACCCGCAGAAGAAGCCCCGGCUAACUUCGUGCCAGCAGCCGCGGUAAUACGAAGGGGGCAAGCGUUGUUCGGAAUUACUGGGCGUAAAGGGCGCGCAGGCGGCCGACGUAGUCAGGCGUGAAAGCCCCGGGCUUAACCUGGGAAUUGCGUUUGAUACUCGUUGGCUAGAGUUCGGGAGAGGAUGGUGGAAUUCCCAGUGUAGAGGUGAAAUUCGUAGAUAUUGGAAGGAACACCAAUGGCGAAGGCAGCCGCCUGGGCCUGUACUGACACUGAGACACGAAAGCGUGGGGAUCAAACAGGAUUAGAUACCC
rnacentral:rRNA from 1 species